rnacentral:rRNA from 1 species
UUUGGCUCGGGAGUCGAUGAAGAACGCAGCUAAAUGCGCGACAUAAUGUGAACUGCAGGACACAUGAGCAUCGACACUUUGAACGCAUAUUGCGGGCUUGUGCUUGUCACAAGCCCACCUUUGGGUCAGGGUCGGUUAUACAACAUCCAUCGGRUGGCUUMACAGCCGCCCGCUYUGUCCUGCCAAGCCUUUCGUGGGCUUGCGGGAUCAAGUUGCAUCCUGUGGCYGGUGCGCCCGCAACGACUCCUGGGACACACAAUCCCGGGUCGAGGCGGCGCCUGCCCAAUCGGAUGGAGCCGUGUGGGGAGCUGACUGCUCUAACAUCCCCUAUCGACGGCGAUCCAUAUUUUUCUCGACCUGAUCUCAAGGGAGACUACCCGCCGAAUUUAAGCAUAUUAAUAAGCGGAGGAAAAGAAAAUAACAAUGAUUCCCUUAGUAAUGGCGAAUGAA